CAACCCUCGAACCCCUCCGGGGGUCCGGCGUUGGGGAUCGGGGACCCCUCAGACGGGAUCCCGGCCCCGAAAUCCAGUGGCGGUCUCGCCGCAGCCUCUCCUGCGCAGUAGUUUGCACAACUCGCACCGGGAGCGCGGCGCGCCCACGUCCGUAAAACACCCAACUUCUGAAA
rnacentral:misc_RNA from 1 species